GAGUCACUUUGAGAGGACUAUUCCUAAAAGCCAAAUUUAACAACACAUCCAGCCUCAGACUCAGGUCCCUGGACUUUGGGACUCAUUCUGCUCGACUUGAUCCCUGCUCUGCCCAUUGAUCACAUACACACGUUUACACCUGGCAGAAGAGGAAGAGGAGGCAUGAAGGAAUGGCCUCUUCAGAAUGGAGAAAAGCCUUCCCCAUGAGAACAUGCCUAAGACAGACUGCUGAAGAAGGCGGCAAAUGGAACAGCGCUGAAUCAGCCUGGUCAUCCCAGUCAAGCCUCCAGACAUGUAAGCACCCUCCUCUGAUCUGCAGAGCUGCCUGGCCCAAAUACUGUUGACCACUCUUGAGUAAGCCCCACCAAGAUCAGCUGAGAACAGUAGAACUGACCAGAUGACUCUAACCUCAUGAAUAAAUCCAAGUGUUUUUUUAUUU
rnacentral:lncRNA from 1 species